GACGAACCGUGCGAACGUUAUUCGGAAUCACUGGGCUUAAAGGGCACGUAGGCGGGUCCGUAAGUCAGGGGUGAAAUCCCACGGCCCAACCGUGGAAGUGCCUCUGAUACUGCGGGCCUCGAGGGGGAUAGGGGCGUGCGGAACUCAGGGUGGAGCGGUGAAAUGCGUAGAUAUCCUGAGGAACACCGGUGGCGAAAGCGGCGCGCUGGAUCCCUUCUGACGCUGAGGCGCGAAAGCCAGGGGAGCAAACGGG
rnacentral:rRNA from 1 species